rnacentral:ncRNA from 2 species
UCCGCUCUAACGGGGUGCCCCGCAGGUUCCGACCUGCCGGCUGAGAGGCGUUCGCCAACCCGAAGAACCUGAUCCGGCUCGUACCGGCGGAGGGAUUAGACGGCUCAAUCCA